rnacentral:lncRNA from 13 species
AUGGGGCCCGGUAACGUUCUGGUAACACCCGGAGUGCCCGCUUCCAGGCCUGAAGCGCUCUCCUCCCCCACCCGACCGGAACCGAAGAGUGGGCUCAAGGAAGUACUCAGGUCAGGUCUGUCAGGGUCCUAUGCUGCUCGUGGCACGCAGCCUCCUUCCAGGCGCCGCCCCUGCCACCGACUCCACCUUGUACCUGUGCGGCAGCAGCUGGACAGCGCCAACAUCGGCGCUCCCCAGCUGGGCAGACGAAAGCGCAUGCGCAAGCGGCCUGUCACAAGCGCCAGCGCUGAGCCCGGGCUCGCGUCACAGGAACAGCCACCGUUGCCUGGGGAACGAUCACAGUGGCUUCCCAAAGCGGCGGUCCUCUGUGGCAGUGCCUCAGCAUCAGGCAACGGACUCUUUCUCCGCGCGAUCCUCACUGAGUCCUGCGAUUUUAGGAAUCCGGCAGGCCGAACCAGGCAGAAGAAAGAUCUGUCGGGGCUUCACGGAUGUCCACGGCGCUCCCCAGGAAUCACCGAGAUGCUGCAGACCUGCCCAAACAGUGUGAGGGUGCCUCUAGUUGAAAGCCCUCUCGGCUGGGAUUUCCAGAAGGAGAGAAAGAAAGAAACACAAAUGAAGAAGAGGAAGACAGAGGAAGAAUAAGAGGGAGAAAAGGAAUGUUGUUUUAUUCUAAAAAUGGGUAUUGAAAACCUCUUUUAUGCCAAUAAUUGUGCUUAAUAAUGGCCGAUCAAUAUUUUAUUUAAACCUAUGAGUAGGUGUGAUGUGAAACUGAUAAGAAUGUAUACUUUAUGUAUUUAAAGUGGAGAGUUCUAUAAAUGUUGAUGAAGUUUACUUGUUCCGGAUCUGAGUUCAAGUCUUGAAUAUCCUUAUUAACUUUCUGUCUCAUUGAUCUAUCUAAUAUCGAUGUUGAAGUCUCCCACUAUUAUUGUGUGGGAAUAUAGAGAGCCUAAGUCUCUUUAUAGAUCUUAUGUAUCUGGGUGUUCCUGUAUAUUUAGGAUUGUUAGCUCUUCUUGUUGCAUUCAUCCUUUUACCAUUAUAUCUUUGUUGCUUUAAAAUCUAUUUUAUCAGAGGCAAGAAUUGCAACUCCUGCUUUUCAUUUAUUUCUUUAUUUUUGCUCUUCAUUUGGUUGGUAAAUCUUUCUCCAUCCCUUUGAGUCAUUGUGUAUCCUUGCAUGCGAAAUGGGUCAGAAUGCAGCAUACCAUUGGGUUUUGGCUGUAUCUUUUGAUUAAAGGAUUUCAUCGAUUAAAUAUAGGAUUACCGCUAUUUGAUGUUAGCUGGUUGUUUUGUCUAUUUGUUGAUGCAAAUUCUUCAUUAUGUUAAUGCUCUUUACUUUUUGGCAUAUUUUUGAAAAGGCUAAUACUUGUUGUUCCUUUCUAUGUGUAAUGCUUCUUUCAGGAGCUCUUGUAAAGCAGGCCUGGUGGUAAUAAAAUCUCUGAGUACUUGCUUCUUCA